CAAAUGACAAGGUGGUGAUGACCCGUGACUCUGUUGUGAUGCAGUGAUUGUUGGGUCAGCCCCCAGGGGCUGCAGCAUUUCACACCAGGCUGUCGCCCAGAGCACAUGGCUGCUGCCUGUGGGUCUGAGUACAGGGAUCAGGGUGAUGGAGCAGGGCCUUUGGGACCAACCUGCUUCCAUUGCUAAAGAACGGAACGUGAGACACAGAAGGAUGAAGGAAAGUAUUCUUGUCCAACUGCAACGUAAUCUCUUAUUUCUGUUGAUUUGAUCACUGCAGCUUGUCUGUCAGAAGUAGUAAGAGAACCUGUUCCUAUCAAGAGGUAAGGAAUGCACCUUCUCCUAGCAAUGGAGUGGAAACUAACCAAUCUGAGUGUACUUUCAGGUGAAGAAAGUGAAUCUAUCCUUUGCUGUCAAAGGCUACAAGCAGUUUCAUAAGAAUAAAGCAAGAUACAUAACCAAAGCUUCUGAGAGGUUACAGAAGUAUUGACUUGCUCUAGCCAAGAAUAAGGAAACCACUUAUACCUACCAGAUUAACAAUACAGCUGAUUGUAUGGAGAGAAAGAGAGAAACCAAUCCAGCAAUUCAUCACGCAGAAGAAGGUCAUAUUUCAAGAUGCAAGGAUGACACAUGGCUGUAGUUUACAGGAAGGAAUUAGCUGAUCCAUCCUUUUAAGGAGAUGAGAGAAAUGCAGAUGAGUUGAACGUUGAGGGUGUGAAAUCAUCAGGAAGUUGCUAGAAGAUCUGGGAUAUCUACAGAAAGGAAACAAGCAAAACUCGUCACUGUUACCAAGAGGAGGAGAGUUACAGAUGCUCAGGAUUUGAGUACAAAGGAAUAGGAAUGGAGCUGAACAGAUUCAACACCUGAAAGGACGAUUGGAUCUCAAAAUAUGAAUGACCCUUCAUUCAAUAAAGCAACAGGAUUGGCUCUGAGGAGAGGUAAGCAGCAUUUGGAAAGAGCCAGCGUGGACAAUAUUCAAGACACAAUAUUCAAAAGUUGCUGCUGGGAUGGAAGUAAAGAAGAAAGCCCUGGAGAUGGGUUAGUGCUGGGACACAGACUAUCCUGGAGGGGCCUGGGACAGGGUAUGUAACCAUAGCGACCAGCGGGUCCUUUCCCCACUGUGGUCCUGGCUCGCAUGCACAGGGUGAAACCGAUCGCCAUGUUUGGGGUCAAGAAGGAAUUUUCCUCCAGGGCAGAUUGGCCAGAGACCCUGGAGGUUUUUCGCCUUCCUCUGGGGCAUCGAGCAGGGACCAGCCCUUAGGGCCAUUUAGGAACAGACAUAAUAAAAUCCAUCAGAGAGAA